AGAGUUUGAUCAUGGCUCAGAAUCAACGCUGGCGGCGCGCUUAACACAUGCAAGUCGAGCGAGAAAGGGGAGCAAUCCCUGAGUACAGCGGCGUACGGGUGAGUAACACGUGGGUAAUCUACCUUUUAGUGGGGAAUAACCCUGGGAAACCGGGGCUAAUACCGCAUAAUCCUGUGAAGGGAAAGCAGCAAUGCGCUGAAAGAGGAGCCCGCGGCCGAUUAGCUAGUUGGUGAGGUAACGGCCCACCAAGGCGACGAUCGGUAGCCGGCCUGAGAGGGCACACGGCCACACUGGCACUGAAACACGGGCCAGACUCCUACGGGAGGCAGCAGUGGGGAAUCUUGCACAAUGGGGGAAACCCUGAUGCAGCGACGCCGCGUGAGCGAUGAAGCCCCUCGGGGUGUAAAGCUCUUUCGGCAGGAACGAUAAUGACGGUACCUGAAGAAGAAGCUGCGGCUAACUACGUGCCAGCAGCCGCGGUAAUACGUAGGCAGCGAGCGUUGUUCGGAAUUACUGGGCGUAAAGAGUGUGUAGGCGGUGCCCUAAGUUUGGUGUGAAAUCUCCCGGCUCAACUGGGAGGGUGCGCCGAAGACUGGGGUGCUCGAACGUGGGAGAGGAAAGCGGAAUUCCUGGUGUAGCGGUGAAAUGCGUAGAUAUCAGGAGGAACACCUGUGGUGUAGACGGCUUUCUGGACCAUUGUUGACGCUGAGACACGAAAGCGUGGGUAGCAAACAGGAUUAGAUACCCUAGUAGUCC
rnacentral:rRNA from 1 species